UUAGUGACCCGGGGGGGUUUGCGGGAGUGCGCAGCGCGGCGGGACGCGAUUGGAGGCCCUUUUGGCUUGGAGGGCUUCGGCCUUCACGGCUGGCGCAGCCUGGAUUCCCGUCCGGAGGACCUGGCGGCACCCGGUGUUUGCGUGCCUGCGAGCAAGGGGUAGAACGCGGCCCAGGAAUGUGGGAGGGGGCGGUCUUCGCUCGGGUUUUCAGUGACUCCAUUGAUGAUGCAUGCGGUUUGGCCGUAUCAUAUUGAGCUUUCAACACAAGAUUUAUAAACAUGUUUGCUGGCCUAGACCUGAACUCUUCAGAUAAUCAGAGUGGAGGAAGUACAGCCAGCAAAGGGCGCUAUAUUCCUCCUCAUUUAAGGAACCGAGAAGCUACUAAAGGUUUCUACGAUAAAGACAGUUCAGGGUGGAGUUCUAGCAAAGAUAAGGAUGCGUAUAGCAGUUUUGGAUCUCGUAGUGAUUCAAGAGGGAAGUCUAGCUUCUUCAGUGAUCGUGGAAGUGGAUCAAGGGGAAGAUUUGAUGAUCGUGGACGGAGUGAUUACGACAGCAUUGGCAGCCGUGG
rnacentral:sRNA from 1 species